GACGAACGCUGGCGGCGUGCUUAACACAUGCAAGUCGAACGGAAAGGCCCAGCUUGCUGGGUGCUCGAGUGGCGAACGGGUGAGUAACACGUGGGUGAUCUGCCUCUAACUUCGGGAUAAGCUUGGGAAACUGGGUCUAAUACCGGAUAGGACAAUCGUUUAGUGUCGGUUGUGGAAAGUUUUUUCGGUUAGGGAUGAGCCCGCGGCCUAUCAGCUUGUUGGUGGGGUAAUGGCCUACCAAGGCGUCGACGGGUAGCCGGCCUGAGAGGGUGGACGGCCACAUUGGGACUGAGAUACGGCCCAGACUCCUACGGGAGGCAGCAGUGGGGAAUAUUGCACAAUGAGCGCAAGCCUGAUGCAGCGACGCCGCGUGGGGGAUGACGGCCUUCGGGUUGUAAACCUCUUUCGACAGGGACGAAGCUUUGGUGACGGUACCUGUAUAAGAAGCACCGGCUAACUACGUG
rnacentral:rRNA from 1 species